GAUGAACGCUAGCGGCAGGCCUAAUACAUGCAAGACGAACGGUAAGUUGAGUAGCAAUACUUAGCCAAGAGUGUCGUACGGGUGCGUAACACGUAUGCAACCUACCCUAUACAGGAGGAUAGCCUAGGGAAACCUGGAUUAACCCUUCAUAGUAUUAUUGGAUGGCAUCAUUUGAUAAUUAAAACUGAGGUGGUAUAGGAUGGGCAUGCGUCUGAUUAGUUAGUUGGCGGGGUAAUGGCCCACCAAGACGAUGAUCAGUAGGGGUUCUGAGAGGAAGAUCCCCCACACUGGCACUGAGAUACGGGCCAGACUCCUACGGGAGGCAGCAGUAGGGAAUAUUGGGUCAAUGGAUGCAAGUCUGAACCAGCCAUGCCGCGUGCAGGAAGAAGGCCUUUCUGGGUUGUAAACUGCUUUUGCCAGGGGAUAAAAUUUCCAUGCGUGGAAAACUGAAGGUACCUGGUGAAUAAGCCACGGCUAACUACGUGCCAGCAGCCGCGGUAAUC
rnacentral:rRNA from 1 species